UACGAAGGGGGCUAGCGUUGUUCGGAAUAACUGGGCGUAAAGCGCACGUAGGCGGAUUUGUAAGUCAGGGGUGAAAUCCCGGGGCUCAACCUCGGAACUGCCUUUGAUACUACAAGUCUAGAGUCCGGAAGAGGUGAGUGGAAUUCCUAGUGUAGAGGUGAAAUUCGUAGAUAUUAGGAAGAACACCAGUGGCGAAGGCGGCUCACUGGUCCGGAACUGACGCUGAGGUGCGAAAGCGUGGGGAGCAAACAGG
rnacentral:rRNA from 1 species